rnacentral:tRNA from 1 species
CCACUCGUGGUGUAGUGGUAACGCUCCCUAUCUAGUGAACGGAGAGUCGUGAGUUCGAAUCUCACCGAGAAGA